rnacentral:rRNA from 1 species
CGUCUAUAUACGUAUAGCAUAUCAAUAAGCGGAGGAAAAGAAACUAACAAGGAUUCCCUUAGUAACGGCGAGUGAAGCGGGAAGAGCUCAAAUUUGAAAUCUUCAAGGUUCUACCUUGACGAAUUGUAGUUUAAAGAAGUGUUUUCUGUUAGAGGAGUAGGCAAAAGUUCUUUGGAAUAGGACAUCAUAGAGGGUGAGAAUCCCGUAUUUGACCAUUAUUUUCUAGCUUUGUGAUACACUUUCAAAGAGUCGGAUUGUUUGGGAAUGCAGUCCAAAAUGGGUGGUAAAUUUCAUCUAAAGCUAAAUAUUGGCGAGAGACCGAUAGCGAACAAGUACCGUGAGGGAAAGAUGAAAAGAACUUUGAAAAGAGAGUUAAACAGUACGUGAAAUUGUCAAAAGGGAAGCGUUUGACACCAGUGUUGUUUUUCCGAAAAUCAAUUAAGAGUGGCUUGAUUUUGUGUUGUAUUGACCUUAUCAGCUUUCUUCACUCUUUUUCGAGUCUUUCUUAAUGCACUUUUCGGUUAACAAGUCAACAUCAAUUUCUUUUGUUGUAAAAGGGUAUUUGGAAGGUGGCUUUCUUUUCGGAGAAAGUGUUUAUAGCCUUAUACCUCUACAAUCGGAGAGAUUGAGGUCUGCAGCGUAGAUCCUUCGGGGCUAGAUACACUUGUGCUAAGUUAUAGCUUUUCAUAGACAACUUGUUGACUAUGUUUAGUCAUGUAGCUUACCCGCUUGUGCUAUUUUACCUACGCUUAGGAUGUUGAGUCAUCACACAUCUCU